rnacentral:lncRNA from 1 species
AUCUGGUUCACAUCGGGCACCAUUCCACCGGUGUAACGCAGGGUGUAUUUCUCACGGACGUAGUAGUCAACCAGCUUGGCGUAAUUGGAGUUGUCGAAGGUGGCUCUCAGAUUUCCCGGUGAGAACAUCUUCCCUUCUCCGAUAGAUGUCGUGUCUUUAACAUGCUGCCAUUUUCCUUCGUCCAGAAGAAGGAACUCGUGAGUUCCCGGACAAUCCUUGAGAGCAACGACGUAGGUUGUACGAGGGCCGUAGAUGCCCAUCGCCGCCGCUACUUGAUCCCUUCCGGUGACUCCAGUCAACUUAUCCCCUGGCCAGACACCAAAAAUAGUUCCUACUGUGAAAUUGGUGUCCACGAUGCUUGAACCAUCAAGUGGAUCAAAGGCCACACUGAAUCCCCCUUCAACCGGUCCGCCCAUGUCUUGAAGCUCGGGAACUUCCUCGGAGCAAGCGUAUUUGCAAAAGUGGGAGUAUGUCAAGGCCUGCAAAUUAUACAAGACCAAUCAAUUACACCUGAGCGCGCGGCUAGAUCAAUCAUUUAUCAACCUACCUCAAAGAGGAGUUUGUCGGCAAGCAUAUCGACGGCAAGUUGUUCGUCACCGAAGGUGUUGACGCAGGCAGUUCCUCCGCAAGAGGCUGUUCUGACCUUGAAUGCAAUGGUCCUCAUGGCUUCUCCCAUGCACACCAGCAGCCUGAUCAGACCCUUGUCUGUGGUGGCCUUUGUCAAGAACUCUUCCUACACAUGCUAAUUAUAAUUAGCACACACACUUGAUUUGCCAACUGCACAAGAUCCGAUCUUCAGUACCUGCUACUAGCUAGCUAGGUCAAUUAAGCUUACCAGACUGUCACCGACUUCACACUUAGUGACCAAAGAGGAAGACCCCCCUCCUCCACGCCUCUUCGUCGAAGCUUUGGUUGCUCUGGACGUCAUCUUUAGCGAUUCUCCGAAGAGGGAGGAGCUGAACUUGAUGGACUUGUUCUUCUGUACAAAUUUAUAAGAAUUAGAUUGAUCGAUAUGCAUUUAUUGAAAGAAAUACGAACUCGAACAGAGUGUGGCAUCAUCGACGGUGAGGAGAAGUGGCGGCGUGGAUGGAGAUUGGCGGGAAGAACACCCUUGGCAUAGCUGGCAGCGACACUGGCCUCCAUUAUUGCAAGUAAGCAAGCAAUGCCGGAUCGAUAAUUAGCUAACGAGGUAGUAGAAUUGGGUUAAGUGGUGGUAGAAUGAAUAAGUGCUUCAACUAUUUGAAUUAGGAUAAGGUGAUCCGUUAUCUGGUAUCCUUGUGGUAAUCAGCAAUUUCAAUGUGUGGUGUGCUGAUGCUCUUUACAUCUCUCCACUCUCUUCUAGUUUUGUCUUUUCCAGUUGUUGGGCCUGGGCCUGGGCUUUGGCCUUGGCCUCGACUUGAAAAUUCACUAAUUUGCAAUUUGUGUCACAUAACUUAUUUUUCUAUUGAAAGAAACAAGACAAUUGAAUCUGUCUUAGUCAACAUGAAACGAUUGACACGUUGUAUUUAUUUCACAAAUUUUAUAAAAAAUAAAUUUUAUAAACAUAUUUAUUUCACAAAUUUAUACAUUGUAUUUUAUAUUUUUUAAUAUAAAUUCCUCUUACUCUCAAGUCUCAACUUUUUAAGACUUGAUGGAGGGAUGUAUUGCGACUAACUCGAUACUCUUAUAAACGAAUGAUCAUAGCGAGUUACUUGAGGAGGACGACGACGACGACGACUGGAAAAAUGUAGCGGACGACCUGAAAAAUGAGAGCGACACGACGACGGUGGAACACCUAGGACGAGCAGUUGAUAUGAGGGAAAGAAACUUUACAAACAUCUGAGCAAGUAUUUGAAGAGAAUCUAGUGGACUAGGUGGACUAGUCUUUGAAAUGGAAUGAUAUCUUGGUGUAUUGGACUAUUCCUAGGGCUUCGGUCCAAUUUUUUAAGACUAUUUAAAUUAUGACAACCCUAAAUUAUUUCUUAUGUUAAACUUAGCAAAAACUGCCUCCAAAGUCCAAAGAAAUGGACGACGUCCUUGGAAGUUUUUAUCGAUUUUAAUUACAUCUGUGUUUUUUCUUGGAUUUGGUGUGGAAGAAUCAUCACCGACCGACUAUCACAGCUCAGAUACCAACUUCACGAUCCAACUCGAAAUUAAAGUUUUCUUUGAGUUACGUGAUUUAGUGAUUUACACAUCAUACAUGCAAUUUUCACUAUAAACAGACAGUGGAGACUUGACUAAAUACGAUCAUCCGAGGUCAAAAAAUCCAAAUGGCAUUUUAAGUCUUUAAAAGUAUUCUAUUCUUCCAUCCGACAGUUUUUUGGACCAAAUAAAAAUUCAGCCGUUGCCGGAAUCUACUUUUUUGCCUUCCAGCAAUUCCAAUGGUCUUAGUCUCUUCUUCACAUUCCAAUUUGCUUCUUCCACUCAAACCUUCUCCUUAUUCUUCUUCCAAAUCAAUUCCAUUGCUCUUCACUUCCACAAAUGGUAAAAUCAAAACCACCAAAAUUAGAUCUGUGGGGAUCAGGUUCAGGAACCUAACGCCGCUCGAUACGGAAGCGACAAGAAGGACCUCAAGGACGAGGAAGAAAAAAAGGUUAUCUACAAUUGCAUGUAGUAGUGCAGAAACAGAACCACCAGGAAGAUGGUUUCCACAUGUCUUUUUGUUGCCGGAGAGAAUGAAGGUGUUGUGUCUUGUUGCCCUCGUCAUGUGUCUUUGCAAUGCAGACAGAGUUAUCAUGUCUGUUGCAGCCAUGCCACUUUGCACAGAGCACGCUUGGUCUACCCCCUUCUUGGGUGUUGUUCAGGUUCUUCUUCCCUUUCACUUCAUUCAGCACAAUUCGAUCUCUUUGAAUGGUAAAUUGCAAAUUAUGAAUUGCAGUCAUCCUUUUUAUGGGGAUACCUGGUGUCUUCGACGGUUGGAGGAGCUUUGGUUGACAAAUAUGGCGGGAAGCUAGUUAUGGCUGUCGGGGUGGUCUUCUGGUCACUGGCCACGAUUAUCACACCAUGGGCAGCCAGUCACUCCAAAAUGACGCUGAUGACUGUUCGCAUUCUCUUCGGCCUGGCCGAAGGAGUGGCUUUUCCAUCCAUGAAUGUUAUCUUGUCACAGUGGUUCCCUUCUUGCGGACGGGCAAGUGGUGUGGGUCUUUCCAUGGCUGGAUUCCACUUGGGCAAUGCUAUUAGUUUAAUUGCCACACCUGUUCUAAUAAACAAGUUUGGCAUUACCGGGCCAUUCACACUAUUCUCUAUUCUUGGGUUUGUGUGGACGUUGAUUUGGACACUUACCAUGGCAAAUCAUCCCAGUAGGACCCAUGACAUCAAGACAGAAGGAAAAUCCGACGAUUCCUCAAUCGGAGAUGCCAGUUUAAAACCACCGUCCGUUGCUCAUUUGUUGUCGAAGAUGCCAACAUGGGCUAUCAUCGUUGCAAAUGUUACCAACAAUUGGGUAAUUAACCCUUUUUUAUACAUACCAAGAUAUCAAAUUAAAAUAAUUUCUUACCACAACCAUCCAUCCACAGGGCUACUUUGUGCUUCUCUCUUGGAUGCCAGUGUACUUCAGAACAGUGAGUUUUUUCACCCAUGGAUGACUUUUCGUUUAUCCUGAUCAUAUAUCUUUAGGACAUCAGUGGAUUCUGUUUUUGGAUUGUAGGUGUUCAAUGUGAACUUGAAACAAGCAGCAUGGUUCAGUGCCGUACCUUGGGGAUUGAUGGCAGUUUCAGGGUACAUUGCAGGAUUAAGCUCCGAUUAUUUGAUGAAGUCUGAUUAUUCUGUAACGAUAGUAAGAAAGAUUAUGCAGGUAAUUCUGAUGGAAUAAAGUGUCUUAAAAAACAUCCAUGUAUUUAUCACUUAUUCACAGCAAUCAAAUUUGAAUGGCAGUCAAUAGGAUUUAUUGGUCCAGGGUUGGCCCUGCUAUGCUUGAAUUUUGCACCAUCACCAUCUGCGGCAUCUUUAUUGUUGACAAUAGCCCUCAGUUUGAGUUCUUUCAGCCAAGCAGGCUUUCUUCUAAACGUGCAGGCAAGUUAACAAUGAACAAAGAACAAUAAAAGAAUGCAGAAGAAAUUUAAAUUUUUAUGGUAUGUAUUUUCAGGAUAUUGCUCCCAAUUGUGCAGGUUUUCUACAUGGUAUGUAUUUUCAUAGUUCAUUCUAGACUACCCGCAUGACGUGAGUGAUUGAUCCAUCAGUGUUCAGUAACUUUCAUCAUCUUAAUCUCGUUUAAUGUUGAUCGAACAGGGAUAUCAAAUUCAUCAGGAACAGUGGCAGCCAUAGUGGGCACAAUGGGCACUGGAUAUUUUGUUGAAUGGUUGGGAUCUUUCCAAGCAUUCCUAACUCUAACAGCUGGUUUCUACUUCAUUUCAGCCAUUUUCUGGAACAUCUAUGCCACUGGAGACCAAGUUUUCUUUUGAUUCUUUAUCAAUUCUUUAUAUUAUCUUUAGUCUAACAGCUGGUUAGUUAAUUAUGUUAAUGAUAUUGGUAUAAUAUUAUUAGUCUAAAUCGAGUUUUAUUAAACAAGAAUAAAAAACGUCAACAAUGCUCUCCACACCUAUGAUUCUACAGAUUUUCAGCACAAGAAAAUAAGAUGUGCAGAAGAAAAUGUCAACAGAUUUUCAAAUAAUCAACCAAUCUUAACAAAUUCCUACCGAUGUCAAUUACGAAUCUACUCUUCUACGUUAAUUACUGCUUAACUACGCUAAUUACUGGUUGGCUGUGAUAACUACGUAACACCAUAUAAAUAUCCCUCUCAAUUUCCAAAACGAGAUUCUGAUUUCUCAUUAAAGACCUAACCACUAGUAGCUAUGACGGAAAUCCCUAACCAAAAAUCCCAAAUAGCAAGUGAAGGAAACGGGUUAGUCAGAUUUUACUUCUAGAGAAAAUGUUAAAAUUACUCACCUAAGAUGGGUUUGACUUCAAAACUAACCACCUACUAGUUUUCUGACCAUUUUACCCUUAUACUUAAAGUCAUUUUACGGAUAUGCCAUUGUAAUCAAAUAACGGGCAGAAAUGAAAUAACCCCAAAACCCAUUGUCCUCCUUCAACCUAUACCUGCAUCAUUUCACCUCCAACCAUCGUCCAUCCGUCCGUCCAAACCCUUCUUUCUUCAUUUCAUCGUAGGAUAGCAGGUACGGACUCGGUAUUGAUUACUGAGCACAUGGGUACCCGUUUCGAGCUUGGGGAUGGUCGGAAUGGAGAAGGCAAUCCAACAAUACGGAUAUAGCCGUUGAUAUUGCCGGUGGAAACUCUGACAGGUCUUGCGUCCCUACUGGGAGGAAUGAAUCUGGCUCAGAAACUAUUCAGGUAAGAUCUAAAUUGAAUUCCGCUUCUAACGGUACCGGUAAUGAAGAUUUUGGUGGAGUAUUGGCCGAUCGGCAGAUUCUUGAUCUCGCCGGAGAAGGAGUUGGGCAGGGUGCGGAGCAAGUUCUCAGCUGGAAUUACUUUGGGGGAAAUGAUCAGAUAGUUGAAGGAAGUCUAAAUCCUGAAUUUGAGGAAAUUCCGGAGCCUGUGGUGGAUUCUGACCAAAAGUCCGACGAGAAAUCAUCUUUUCCGACGAACAUCGAACCGGCGAAGAUGACCGGAAAAAAUCAAAAUUUGGAGGAGGAUGAAAUAUAUUUAACUUCGACGGAUAUUCGGGUAACAUUUUCCGAGUCAUCAGGACGGGUUAACGGGUGAUGCCGACGGGUAAAAUAAUUUAGAUUAUUUAAAUGAAGGGCAAAUUAGAAAAAUUUACCCCCUAACAACCUAAGAAUCAGGCUUGAUGGUUACUUUUGACCACUAAGUCAUCUUAGGUGGUUACUUUUGACCACCAAGCCAUCUUAGGUGGAUACUUUUAAAACCUUCCCUUCUAUCUAUCAGACUCACCGGUCUAAGUCGUUAAAGGUCCAGGUUUAUGUAAUGCUAUUUUCGUAAAUAUAAGGUUAGCCAAAGGAUUACGUGACUCCAUGUAUAAGAAAUUAAGAAUCGGUCAACUCUAUAGAUGAAUGGUGGCAUCGACUCUCAAGGAAUACUAAAACCUUGCAGAUAGAUGGAUAGAUAAUUACCAUGGAAGGGCAGAAAGGUUCUUCUUCUCUGCACAGCAGCAAUUAUCGACGAUCCCACUCCAGUGCAGACAGCAGAACACGGAAGAAAGGCUAUUUGGAUAACUCCGUUGGAUCAAUUCAAACUCAAAGUGAUGCCUCAAGUAAUCACAGUAGCAGCUCUUGCUUAUCAGGCUCUUUUAAGCUCGCAGCUCGUCAAGUUGCAGAUUCAUUUGUUAGCUGUUUUGUCCCUUCCAGGCCAAAUAGUAUACAAGAACGUAGUCCACAUCCGCACUACAGUGGUAAGAUCAGAUCAGAUCCAUUCAUUUCUUUCUUUCUUUCUCAUAUACAUGAUGAUUGUGAUCUGUUUAUAAUUGAAAAUAACCAAUCAGUACAGACAACAAAGCAUUAAAAAUAGCUUCUAGUACAUACAAGAACAUGCUUUUUUGCCACAAAAAUCUAAUGAUGCUGUGUGAUCAGACAAAAAUGGCUGAUGUAAAUUUGUUUUUUCAGCAUCAUAUUCACCCAAUGGACAGGAAGUAAGUUCAAAUUUCUCCUUCAAAGAAGCAUUAAAGGCUACCAAUAACUUCUCUCCGCUUAAUAAAAUUGGAGAAGGAACUUUUGGGAGUAUUUACAAGGGAAAUCUUAAAGAUGGAACUAUCGUCGCUUUCAAGUAUGCAAAGAAGGUAAUGGAUUUAUUUAUGUCUACUGAAAAGAAGCUAAUAUAUCAAUUUCCACUUAAGGUUGGCCCAUUGGUCUCGGGAACUAUUAAGGUUUCUGAGGUCCAGGGUUCGAAUCUUAUUUUGUACAUUUCCAUUUAAAUUUACCCGAUGAUAUAUUAUGUGGCUCUGGUAUAUCAUCUGGAGGUUGACAGCUCUACAUUUGUGAAGAGGUACCCUCCGUUAUCAAAAAAAAUAUAUCAAUUUCAACAAUACAAUUUCUAGGAUAUUUAUUGAUGAUGAUAUUAUGGAUAAAUUGAGAAUUUUGAUUAAAAAAACUGGACAACAACUGAUUACCGAUGUAAUGUAACUAAGAUAUAACAAAGCAACAGACCAUGAUUUUUUACUCUUAUUCACUAAUGAUCUUGUUAAAUUGAAAAUCUUAAAAGAAUCCAAGUGGGAAUCAUGUCACGUCGGGUGAAUUCAAGAAUGAAAUCCAAAUCAUGUCAAAAAUAGAGCACCUGAACCUCGUGAAAUUAUUCGGAUUUCUUGAGCAAGAUGACGAACGCAUAAUUAUUGUUGAGUAUGUGGCUAAUGGAAACCUGAGAGAGCAUCUAAACGGUAAGUCAAAAAAUAAAUUUCCUACUUUAGAAUGGACAACUAUAUUUUAAUAGAAACGCAUAUAAUGUUCAUCAGGGGGAACUUAGUCCUUAAACUACAAGGGCACAUGACAACUAGACAAUUAAACAAGAAUAUGUAUAACACAAUAGUUUAAUCAUCUUCACUAUUUUCUUGUUUGGAAAAAAUACAAUAUGCAGGAAAUCGGGGAGUAACAUUAAAUAUGGCGGAAAGGAUUCAAAUUGCUAUCGACGUCUCCCAUGCCAUAGCAUAUCUGCAUACAUAUACAGGUUUGCUCUAUAAGAGUUUCAGAUGUAAAUAAGGGGGAGAGAUAAUCAGUCCCUUUUCAUUAACAUUGAGUAGAUUAUAUAUACAAUUCAGUAUAACAGAAAUCAGUUAUACUCUGUACUACAAAUGCUAACGAAAUGACUAAUUAGCCGAUAGAAGUAAUUAACUAUUUAUGUUAAGAAUAUAGCUAUUGUGAUUAAUAGAACUAAUUCUAACAUAUCACUGAUAUGCUUUGAAAACCAUUGAGCAGAUGACUAAUGCUGAUGAAUUAUGAUGCUCAAUAUCGCCACAAAGGCGGCUAGUUUUGAAAUUUCAUGCAAAAAGAGAAAAUUAUAUCGAUGAUUUAGUGAUAAAAACAAUAUUUUUAUCUCCACAGACGAGCCUAUCAUUCACAGAGACGUAAAAGCAUCAAACAUUCUCAUCACAGAGAAACUUAGAGCUAAAGUUGCAGAUUUUGGAUUUGCACGUCUUGUUUCUGAGGAUCCAGAAACAACACAUGUGCUCACACAAGUGAAAGGAAGUGCAGGGUAUUUAGAUCCGGAGUAUCUAAGAACAUACCAACUAACGGAAAAGAGUGAUGUGUAUUCAUUUGGGGUGGUUCUUGUGGAAUUGAUGUCCGGAAGACAUUCGAUUGAACCUACCAGACCAAGAGAAAAGAUAACCACAAAAUGGGUAAGAUUUAAGAAACCAAGAGACCCUAAUUAAAUUCAAUAAUGCACACUGACCGAAAAUGCUGUAUAUAUCAGGCAAUGCAAAAAUUAAAACAAGGUGAUUCGGUGAUGGUGAUGGAUCCAAACCUGCGAAGAAACCCAGCAUCAAUUGAAGCUUUGGAAAGAAUUUUGGAUCUGGCACGGCGUUGUCUAGAACCAUCGAGACGACACAGACCGAUGAUGAAGACGUGCGCAGAGAUAUUAUGGAGCAUCAGGAACGAUUUCAAGAAGAAUAACAGAGAGCAAGCAUCAGAACAAUCAUCCCCACAGCAUUAUCAGUCUAAAGGGAAACCAGAUGCAUCGGAUGUGAGCUCGACGACAUGGGGGAUUCGAGCAGUUCGUGAUGGGGCUGAAUGGGAGUGAAAGUUGAAACCAACUGUCGACAUAUUUAUUAUAUGACUAUGUAUAAAGAAGUCAUUAAUCUAUGAGUGAGAUGAAACUAAAAUACUGAUUAGUGAUAAUUAAAUUAACUCUUUUUUGAAGCAUAUAUUUUUAAAAAAAAAUUAACUUAAUUCAACUACUCAAAUGCUUUUUUCUUCUUCUAAAUCUCGCACAUAAUAUUUUUUCCAAUAAAAUUGCAAUCUGCAAAUCUGUAAAUUUAAUUUUUUUUAUUAGUUUAUACUAUUUUUUGUCCGCUAAACACUAAAACAACUUGUCAGCCCAUCUAAUCUUGAGAUUACAGUUUUACAGUUAUCCAAUAUUGAUUACAAAAAAAACUGUUUUCUUGUGUUUGCAUCUAAGAACUCAUAAAUCAUGGAUCCGAGUUCCGAGAGUAAGACGGCAAAGCACUUCGUUCUUGUGGCCGCAGAAUGACAAGCAUACCAAACAUUCCAAUCAUUGGGAGAACGAGUAGCCACUUCAGUAGUUUGUAAUAAUGCAUAUGGAAUGUAAGAGAGAACUCAUCGGAAAAAUGGAUUCCAUUCUUAUCAACCAUCUCUACUAACACACUUCCUGUCGUCCGAACAGGCACCGUAGGGAGUUUUAUUCGUUGCUUUCCAGGUUUACUGAACAUCUGGUUUUGCACUAUUUCUCUCUCCCCUUGAUAAUUACCAGGAACCAAUAAUCUCGUCUGAUUCAUGACAAAACAAGAAAAAAAAUUAGCAUCUUCCUGAUUCUAAGUCAAAACAGACACACUGAAAUCAAAAGUGGCGAUUAGUUUAGGUGCCUUACAGUCACAUUAUAAGGGCCUUGAUGUCCAUGUGGAAUCCUGUAAUUGUCAACAAUCUCCAACUCUACCCAAAAAUGCUUGCCCUCCUCAUCUCGAAAAGUUUUCGAGUUCGAUGAUAUAUAUAAUCCUUCACGGUUGUAUCUGGUAGCGUAGUUAUUUUUUCCCUGAGUUGGUGAUCUCCAGGUCUGAGAAACCAAACACAUUUUCCAUGACUAGACAAAUUAGGAAAGUAAUUCUUUCUGAAACAUCAAUUGCACAUAGGAAAAACUGAACUCAGACCAUCUUACCUUCAACGAAUGAUGUGGAGAAGGAGUAGAAAAACAGAAAACAUUGCCAUUCAUUGUUGUAACAAUGAGAUCAAGGUCGUCUCCCCCAUCAACGUUAUCUGCCAGAACCAUGGUGUAUCUAUGAAUAAUGAAGCAAGAAUUAGUAUUGACAAAAUUGGGAUAAAAUAAAUUCAUUGGAAAAAACAUGGAAAUGUAGCUUACGAAGUCUCGCCGAUAUCGACUACAUCAGCACAUGCUGUCUUUCCAUCAAUGAGAUACAAGUAGCCAUCAAAAGACGUCGUCACAAGAGUCAAUGACUUCUGCUUUUCACCUCGAUUGUUCAAGUCAAGGAGAAGUACCUGAUUCAUGACCCUCCCAUGAGUACGGUAUGGAAAUGGACGGACGAAUGACCCAUCUUUUCCACUAAGAACGUAUAUGUUUCCAGAUACUGUUGGAACCACGAUAUCAGUAUGACCAUCACCAUCGACAUCGCCAACAGUUGCACCCUGAUGUCGAUAUUAAACACCAUCAAAUAAUAUAUCAAAUUUUUAAACAGAUAGGUGAAGGAAAAUAUGGCAAAAACUACCACAUUGAAAACAAAGCAAUAUUCCUUCAAAUAUCAAGAUACAAAAAAGAAAGAUCAUCUUUUCCACUGGUUUAUUAUGUUUAUUUUUCAAUUGUCUACAAUACGAAGAUCUCAGAAUCUUAACUGUCUAUAUUCUAUAUUUAUAAUCAGUGUAGACAAAACUCAGAUUACAUGUAAUUUCAUUGAGAUAUGUUUUAACAGGAAAAAUGAAAUAUAUACAUAUAAUCUACAUACAUUAAAGGCCGGAAGACUGAAAUAUAUGUUUAUUUCUCAAAAGCAUAUUGGCUGGACUCUUAUUUUCUAUGUGAUCUUUCAAGCUUUAUAAUAAUAAAGUGGUUUAUAUUGCCUUUGAAAUAAACAUAUUUCAAGCUUUUUUAGAGAUGCUGUAGAUUUUUUUUGAGAGUCACUUAGUUUGGGACAAAUGGAUAAAUCGUAUAGAAUUCAGUGACUGUGUUAAUAUAUUAUAAUUUAUAACAUGAAAAAAACUGACCUGUGGAAUGAGACUCUUUAGAUGGACUUCCCAAAUCUCUUUUCCAUUUGUAGUCCAUGCAGCUACAUUUCCAUGCGCAUCUACAGUAACUAAUUCUAUUUUGCCAUCAUCAUUAAUAUCUGCUGCCACAAUUGGAGCCUGUAUCUCGGCCAUUUCAAGAGGAAAAUUAUUUCUCACCUUGCCUGGGCACAAAUUUAUUUCACUACAUAUUACUAAUCGGUCAUAAUUUUUCAAAGAUAACAAUAAAAACUGGUAGCAAUAAUAAUUUGAAGACCACAAUUGCAACAAACCAUAAACAACAAUUGGUUUUGCAAAUGAUAAAAAAAUUUGGUGUCCGUGAGGAUUGAACCAAUAAACACUACACAAAGUGGUUGAAAAUAUAAAAUGGAGGGAAAUAGUGAGUUUCAAAUUUCAAAGAUUACAUGGUUCUAAGUUGAUUAUAAAUUGGCAAAGAAUAUGAAUCAUAAAAAAUCAUUGAUCCUUGAGUAUUCUUUUAUACGUAAUACGUCUCCUUACCCAGUGGCCAAUACAUGUCAUAGGCAUCUGAGCACCUAACUCUAGUUUGUUAUCUGGGGAUGGAUUCCCAAGAUAAUUGACUCUAGCUCAGAUGCCCAAUAAUGCCACUUAAUGGAUAAGACUAAUUCAAGUUACCUCCUUAUAACUCCUAAUUAUUAUUACUCCAACAAACUUACCCCAUCAACAUUUCUAUAUUCACUUAGAGUCAAACCAUAUGAAAAAUUGUGGUAGAAUCUUUCUUGUAGAUGAUAAAAAAUAUACCCAACAUGAAAUAGACAACUAAUUUCUGAUAUGCCAGCAUAAUUAAUUAAAACUAAAAAACCCGAAAAAUAAUACCAGUUCCAAAUAUCUUUAUGGAGAUGCUAGUAUUCAGGUAACAAUAGAGGUCAGAAGCUAACCAUAGUGAUCCAAUGCAUAAAAUAAUCCAUAGGAAGUUCCAACAAGAAUGUCCAGAUAACCAUCACCAUCCAAAUCAACAACAGUAGGUGAAGAAUAUAUGUACGCACGGAAAUUUCCACUAUCAAUACUCAAAUCAAGUUCUUGUAUCCAUUUGACCUGUUUGGUAUCCAGAUUAAAAACUACAACAGCACCAGCAACAUAUUUACCAAUAUCAAUACCCUCUAAUUCCUUAGAAUGCUCUGGAUUAUCAUAAUACCUAUCAAAUAUCAAUAAUAUGAACAAGUCAAUCACCAUAAAUCAAGUAAUAAAAUACAAAAAUUACAAAUCACAAUUUUUUUUGAGAAAUUAAAACUUUCAUUACUGAAAAGAGGUUGGGCAUGGCCCAUGAUUACAGAAUAAUAUAGGGAAAUGCAAGUACAGUAAAUGUAAAAACAUUGUCUAUCUCUUAUGCAGCUAUGACUCUGACUAACAGGCCAAGGAUUGAAGCCUCAAGAGGUUGGACUCCCAUGAGCGUAUAGCUUGUAUUUCAAUCUGUGAAAGAUUGUGCUUCUUAUAGGAUGUAGAAUCAUACGUAAUGCUCACAUCCUUUAUAAUUUCUCUGCUGACAAUUUCUGGAGGCCUUAGGGUGUGUUGUUUUAAUCUCCUAUUCCUUUCACCCAUAUGUGCCAGGAAAGAGAUGCUAGCAUAGUCCAGUGUACCCCCCAACAACUGGACUUGUGGGUGAAUUUUUGUAUUGUUUCCAUAAUAUCCCCUAUCCUAAUAUCUAUUACGGGAGGUGGGGGAUUUUGCCCACUAAGUGUCCAAACAACAUUGUUAAGACAGCUAGUGGUCUCUAGCAAUAGGGAUCUAGUGUAAUGGCAGUUAAAGUAUAGGUGUUGUAAUGUUUCUUCCUCAUUUCCACAUAGUGGGCAGGACGUAUUUAUGUUGAGUCCCCAGCUUUGCAGUCUAGUUAAAGUGUUCAGACUCUUGACCUUAAUUCUCCAACAACAUCAUAGAGAAUUUAGGAGGCUUUUUGGCCCAGAUCCCUAGAUUUAUCUUUUGAAAGAUGCCUUUGGGCCUUAAUGUUUCUGAGUGCUCGGAGGAGGCAAUUUGUGUGACCCUAUAGUUACUCAAGCAGUUUAUACAUUUCCUUAUUGUUUCCUUAUUAGCUAGUAUAGUUUUCCACAUGUGUGAGUCCAGAGUAGGCCUACACUCUAUCUCCCCAAUGCUUCUUCCUUUGAUGUACCUAAUUUUUAUCCAGUAUGCUAGUAUGAAGUUAUUAGGACUCCACAUCCUCUUUGUUCUUUUAACCAAAGCUGCAGCAUUAGUUGCAAAGAAAUCUAAAAAUAAAUUUAUAUAAAAUAAAUCUGGCUUCAAAACCCAUAAAAAAAUAAACUAACAAAAAAAAUUCAAUAAUAACACUAAAAACUCAUCUUAUUACAUGGGAAUUUUAUUUCGAAUGUUAGUCGCAAUAGUAACUGAUUACAAAGCCCGGAUGAUGUCAAUAGUAAAAAAAAAGAUGAAAAUAGGUUAAGAGAGCAAAUAUUAAACAAAUUAAUCUAAGUAUUUUAACCAUUAAUUAUGACGAAUGGCAACUUCAACAGUACUCGAUGAUGUCCGGACGAGUAGUCGUAAACUUAUAUUAGCUCGUGAUGCGAGGUCGACUUCUGAGACGACGUCGAUUGAUGUUUUGAUUCCCAGUAAUCAUGCUCUACUUCAAGUAUGGUAUGAUUCGUAAGGAUGACCACAUCCCUAUUUAUAAGGAUUUGUAAGGGUAUUUCGGUAGUUUUACCUUCUGGGUGACAACCGUCGUACAGUUGUUUCCAACUGUGUGUGUGGCUUCCGCCUGCUAUGCUGGAAGCCUGAGCUGCAGUGCCGACUUUGCUACUAAGAACCGACUUGAGAAAUCAUCAACCCUGCUAGGUUGUGCUUAGCUCUGUUAUGGUGUGUUGGCAGAGCGUUCUGGACUAGAAAAAUGUUUGCGUAGUCCUAGCAGCCUGGAUUUCGGUUAUGGACAUGUAUCACCACUUCACAAGUACUCCCCCCGUCGAGGAGAGUCUAUUGAUGAGAGUCAGUGUGACUUAUCGAGUACCACCAAAUUCCUAUUCCAUCAUCCCAUGGGCUAUGACAGAUACAGGUAAAUUCUCGUACGAUUUGCAUAGGUUAUUUUAAGAGAACGAGUAAUUUCAUUUCAAACCCAGUCCUCCCCAACUUCAUAAAUGUAAGAGGACCACAAACUCUGAAACUUCACUAAUAAUUCCUUAUUAGAGCUAAUGCGAUGAAUUUCUGUCCUAUUCUGAUAGGCAGGCAUCCCUCAUUCCCUCAGAUGGAGAAAAAAGGCAAUUGGAAGAUGGUGCUCUCAAUAGACUUGACUGUAUCACUGACCAUUGUGGAGAACUUGAAUUCAUCUUCUUUGUUGGAAAAGCAUAAUAAGGCUAAUCCCCAUUCAUUAAGAUAAGAGAUCAAUAUGUAGUUGGUUAAAGUAUUUAACAGCUAGUUUCAGGGUUUUGCCAGGUUUAAACUUCGGAGACAGCUCCUUCUGUUUGUAUCUUCUCCUAGUAUGAGCUGCGCCUAAGGGGUGUCGGCAUUGAAUUGGCAAUCAUUCCAAUAAAAGGAGUGACCUGUUACUCUGUCAUACCUGCCAUUUCUUUUUUGUUUGUAAGCUAUAUAAUGGGGCUCCCCAGUCUCUAUGUUGUUUUAAUUAAUUAAAUAAUCUGUUUUUCUUCUAAAAACAAGAAAAGAUUUGCAAUUUCUCAAAAUGUUUUAGAGAACAUAAUCAAAUUUUUCUUAUUUAGCUUUCAAAUUCAGAUUUUGUAUAUCCUUACCCAUUUUAAAAUCUGGAUUCUGCUUUUUUAGCAUACAAAUCCAGAUUUUAAAUGCUCACCUUUAGCAAAAUCCAGAUUUUGCGUCUGUGAGAUUUCUAAACAUAAUGCUGAAAAUUGUGAAAGGCUAGUUUUCCUACUAAAGAUUUAAUAAAUAAAUAAAAAAUAGGAAAAGACUUACUCACGAUCAAAAAAGUAUGACACAGUUAUAAUCAUCUCAGAUACUCCAUCAUUGUCGAUGUCUGCUAUUACCUGACAAUCAAAUCAUUUGAGAUAUGAAGUAAAAAAAUUAUUCUAAAAGCUGUGUUAAUCAUUCUUCAAUUGUUAAACACUUAAACUCACUGGUGUUGAGAGGAUGUGUGCAUCAACAUCAACGUAAUCUUCUAAUUUUUCAUGUCUACCUUCUGUCCAUUCUUCAUCUCCCCACAUUGAAUCAUCAACAUAAUCAUCAUAGUCGUAGUUAUACUCAUCAGGCAAAUCUUCUCUGUUCCGGAAUAAAUCAAAAGAAGAAUCAGCUUCUUCUUCCAAACCAUCCUCAUUUUCCAAAUUCUGUGACUGCUGCACAUCAUCUUUCAUAUUUAAAAUGUCAUCAUUUGAACCUCCUGAAUUUUUUGCUUCGAGCAACUUCCUUUGAGAAUGGAUAGUGUUCUCUGUAUUGCUACUAUUAAAUGAUUUAAUAUCAGUGGUCGUAUUUCCAGAAUUUGGUAAAAUUUCAACUUUGAUUCCUUCAGUGACAGUAUUAUUCUUCAUGUCCUCAGUUCUUCCAUCAGUUUCUGAUAAUGAUGAAGUAUUCAAAAUAGAUGCACUCUUGUUCAUUUCUGCGGUAAAUUGAAAUUAGAAAUUAUAUUGUUUUAAGAUGAAAUCAAAUGGCACAUAGACUUAAAUGGAACCUCAUCGUGGACAUCUUCCAUUAUUCAUUCAAUGGAACCUCUUGUUGGGUAUUCCCCAGAUAAAAGUCAGAAUAUGGCUCUUAUGGGAUGUUUAACACGAUAUGUUACAAUUACAAAUUUCAAAAAUUACUUUUUUAUUAAGUACACACUCUCUCGCUCUCUCUCUUAGUGGUAUUCCGCCUCUUGCCUGUUUUUGGUCAAAAGAUGAAAUUCUUAAUAAUAGUUGGUUGUAUUCACCUUCUUUUGUGCUAAUAGCAUUUCUUACAGCGGGAUUAACUACGUUUUAUUUCGAGAAUAAAUGCAAGGCUAGAUUCUUACGAGACAAUAAAUUCAUGUCCUCAGCCUCAUGAACAAUAGCCUCAUCGUGGACAUCUGGAUGAGUACGGUCCACAGGAUCGGGAUGCAAACCAGCAUACCAAUUUUUACGGAUCUUUCUUCGAGGUACUUCUAAUUUUUCAGUCAUCAUGUAACCUGAUGCCCUGGAAACCAAACCGAACCGAACUAAAACAUGGAUAAAAUAAUCAUUGAAGUACUGAAAAGUAUAAAAAAAAACUGGAAACUACGUAAACAUUACCUAAAAAAUAAAACCACUCCAUUGUAAGUUGCUAAGGCUAUUUCCCUUGAACCAUCCUUGUCAAUAUCAAAUAGCAAUGGAGUUGCAUGUACAGUUGAUUGAUGGAAGGCGGGCCAUCCUGCAAGAAUAAAGAUCCCAUAUCACCAUAUGCCAAGAUUAAAUAAAAGAAAUCAAAUGGAAAUAAGAUGGUAAAGAACGAAAGAUAAAACUUAUCUCAGUAUUUAUUUAUGUUUUUUACCUGUCAAUGCUCAUCCUAUACUCUCUAAAUAUAAAUAUAACAUUGUUUAAAAGCUCCCCCACAGUAUAAUACUAUAAUCAAUGUAAGCAAAGCAAAUAAUAUGGCCAUGACACAGCCUGGAAAAAACAAUGAUAUGUUUGAGGUAUAUAAAAUUAACUUUUUGUGGUAAACAUAUAUUUUUACUUUAUGCAUUGCAUUUAUUUUUAAUGUUUCAUUCAAUGACAAAAUGUCUUCUCAUAUGGGAACAAAAUAUAUGCAUGAUGUUGAUAAAAAAACAGUAAGGGUUAAAAGUUUUAAACACUAAAGAGUUAAUUUUCAAAAAGAAUAAUUAAUCAAGAGUUACGAACCAAGCAACAUCUACAAAAAUUCCAUUAUUACGAUUAAUUCUCGGUACCGUACUUCUUUUCUCCAAUUCAAUGAAUACCAAUUAGAUAUAACAGGGGCAAAUGAUAAAAUGGAAGAAAUACCUGGCAUUUUAUCACCAUCAGAUCCUUGCAGCACUUCUAAGUAAUGAACAAACGAGGGCACAACAAUAUCAAGUUUUCCAUCACUAAAAUUGAAAUAUUUUCAUGUCAAGCCGGAUAAAGCAGAGAUACAUUAACAUACAAUUCCUUUUGGGAGGAAAAAACAGUCUUUUUACAUACAGAGAGAAUUCAAAUGAAGCUCACCUGUUAAUAUCAGCAAUCAAGGGAGGUGCAUAUAUACUGGAACUAACUUCUGCCUGCCAUCUCAGCUCAAUGUGCCUUGGACACUUGGAGUUCAACAAUGAGUCUUCGUCCCUGAUAAAAAAAGAAGUAAAUUUUAGUAUUUUACAAAUCUAAAUUUGUAUGGAAUGAAUAAAAAAGCAGUUCCAAAUUAAGAACCAAUAUAAUCCAAAAUAACAAAACAAAUUUAUCAAACGAUUUAAUUAUACCAAAUUUUACACAUAUUUUUAAAGAUAUCAUAAUGACAUCGAUGAACAAUUGAACAUCAGUAUGCUAUAGUAAUCUAAUAAACAUGAAGAAUAAGAAGAAAAUGACGAAGACAGUGGUGACUAGUGAGAGGUUAUUUUUUGUUACAUGUUUGGGUAGCCAAGCAUGUCGUCACUAGCCUCGCGUUCGCGAAACUUGUUCUUGACCUCCUCCUGUUUUAGAUCGGAAGCCCCAUGUGACGUGAGGAUAAAAUGAAGGAAUAUGGAGAAGAAGAUAUAGGUCAGGACGGGGAGAAAAGUGAUCUGUCGACGCAUGUUGACACCAAAGGGACUGGAGGGCGGAAAAUCCCGAUCUGGGAGGAGAAAAAUAUCCUCCCUUCCAAGCAGGGUUUGACCCCUGACAAAAUUCAGAUCUAUUCGGAUCUCUAUACGGGUCGGGGUUUUGGAUAAAAGUGUCAAGUGAAUAACUAUUAACUAAGACUUGAAGACUUGUGGGAAAGAAUCCACCUCAUCCGUCCGCAAUCUCACUGGUGGUGUAGGACAGACCGGACAGUGGAAGAAUGGGAGGCGAUCACGGAGCUACAACUAAAAAAACCGAGAUAUCAUUCACCGGAAGGUUCGCCAGCAGUGCUUUUUCUGCGUGCGUUGCCGAGGUAAUCUAUAGUAAUCUAUAUAUCUACUUUCUCAAAGAUCAUUUGCUUCUGUUUUCAUCCUCAAAAUGGUAAGUGAUUUGUUUGAUUUAACGUAUCUGAACUCGGCCAGCAUCGUUUGUUUAUUGGAAUAUAAAGCUUGGUAGUUAUAGUUUACCGUCUUUCCAUCCUAGUUAUCGCCUUUUCAUGUUCUACAUAUGGAUAUGCAUAUGUUAUACGUAUGUGGCCAUAUGUGGUUUUCAUCUAACCACGGUAUAUCUCGUGUUAUUUACUUAUUUCUUCAGCAUAUUAUCGAAAAUUGAGUUUGAUAUUGAAAACUAUCUUAUUUGAAUACAUGUAUGAAUUGUUAUUUAUAUACAUUAGUUAGCUAAUUAACAACUAACCAUUAACUAAUUUACAAAUUUAUUUCUAACUACCUUGGCAGUUUGGUAACUGUCCAACACCCCCCCCCCUCAACCACCGGUGGCUCUCCGACCAACUUCAACUGUAGUGUUAAGAAUGCCUUAGGAGGUAAUGCUUUUGUGAGGAUGUCAGCCCACUGCUCCGUUCCCGGUAUGUGUUUGACGCUUAUUACUCCGUUCUCCGACUUCUCCCGGACGAAAUGAAGAUCAAGAGCGACAUGUUUGAGUUUGCUAAUGAGCUAUCGGAUUUUUGGCGAUAAAGGAUGCACCCAUGUUAUCUGUUAAUAUCCUCAUUGGUGUCGGAACCUCUAUACCCAAUCCUAGAAGUGUGCUCCUCACCGAUUCGACCUCUUGCGUCAUGGUAGCAACUGCACGGUACUCCGCCUUGGUGCUUGAUCUUGCGAGAGUAUUCUGUUUUCGUGAUAGCCAUGCCACGAGUGAUCCGCCCACAUACACUAACAUUCCAGUUCGGCUUUUGCGAUCUAUGGUGUCGCCUCCCCAAUCCGCGUCGCAGUACGCGGUGACGCCGAAGUCUCUUGCUUUCCUUAAUAAAACUCAAAAUGUCUGAGUACCUACCAAGAAUCGAAGGACUCUUUUCAUUACUACAACAUGUAUUGGUCGAGGUGAAGCCAUAAAUUGCGAUAGUUGAUUUACGGCCAUUUGAAUAUCCGGUCGUGUCAACGUCAUAUAUUGCAACGAACCGAUCACCCGGCGGUAUUCACGGCUGCCCUCAAUUGGGGGUUCAUCUGAUUUUAGAUCGAUAUCGAAAAUCAUUAGAGUGGACGUUGGUUUUAAAUUAUCCAAUCCCGUACUAUGUAGUAAAUUUGCUAAAUACUGAGUUUGUAAUAAAUGUAACCCAUCUUCAACGUCAUAUACUGAGUUGGUUUUAUCUCAACUCCCAAGAAAAACGUUAACUCCCCCAAAACCCUCAUUGGGAAUUCUCCAGCAAGCCUUUUUAUUAAUUCUUCCACCCUCUUUUCGUCUGAUGCCACCACCACGAUGUCAUCGACAUAGACAAACAAGAAGGCAGUAAAUUCUUCUUCUUUUAAAAUGAAUAGGGAGGGGUCAACCGUCGACUUUCUGAACUGAAUUGUAAAUAGAAAUGCGCUUAGUCGUUGGAACCAACAUCGAGGUGAUUGCUUCAGCCCGUAGAGAGAUAUGUGUAGUAGGCAAACGUGCUCCGGUAGAUCGACAUUCUGAAAUCCGAAAGGUUGUGAUACUACUAUCCGUUCCUCUAGCUUGUCGUGGAGAAAUGCAUUGGAUAUAUCGAUUUGGUGGAGCUUCCAGCCUCGGGUUACAACCAUGGUGAGCACAAGUCGGAUCGAUAGUGGGCGCACUACUAGACUAAACGUGUCCAAAUAAUCUGAGCCUUCCACUUGACACAUGUUGUUGGCAACCAGACGCGCUUUAUAGCGUUCAAUCGUCCCAUCCGACUUUGUCUUGACCUUGAAGACCCAUUUCGUAUUGAUGACGUUGUCUCUUACUCGUCGGGGAACAAGUGUCCACGUUUUGUUAUCCAUCAAUGCUCUAUAUUCGACGGACAUUGCUUCUUUCCAUUGAGGCACUGUGAUGGCAAAUUUUGCUGAUUUGGGAGCACAAAUAUCGGUUGCGGCAACGGCCAGAGCAUAUCUCGGAUUUGGUUUUACGAUUCCUCUAGAACCUCGGGUAACCAUCGUUAACGAUGCAAUAUCUUCUUCCGACGAGGUAGCCUCAUUCAAAAUUUGGUGCAUAUCUUCAUCUGUUGACGGAGACUCAUUUGACGGCGAUGGUUCUUCUGCUUCGGCCGAUAGAGAAGAAAUAGUCACGUCUUCCCCGUGUGUUUGUUUUGGAAUGGGAAUCGGGUCGGAUUCGGAUUCUUGCACCGGCUGAGUGUUGUGAUUGGGGACGGCUAUUGCUUUUUCCUGACCUAGCGAGUGAUACUCUUGAUCGGUAUUGUCGACCACGAUUGGCAACUCGAGUUCCACCUGAUCUGUUAAACACUUAGCCUGUUUGUUCUCAUCUUUCUUGAAUUGAUUUUGGCAGUUUAUAUUUUCAUACUUAAAGUGCCUUUUAUUUAAAGAAAAAUCUGAUUCGUUAAAUACAACAUCCCUUGACGCGAAUAUUUUCCGGCUAUCUGGUUCAAAACAUAGAUAGCAAUUCUGACCCGUGGAAUAACCGAUGAAGAUGCACAGACUUGACUUUGAGUCUAAUUUGUUUCCCCGGUAUGAUCGUAGACAAAGAAAACAUAAACUUUCGAAAACCCUGAGUCUUUCAUAUUCCGGCUUCUUUCCCAGUAAUGCCUCUAACGGAGAUCUUCUGGUUAAUAGUGGAGUAGGAUUCCGAUUAUAUAAGUAACAUGCCGCGAGUACCUCGUAAUCUCAAAAUAUGUUGGGGAAACUUGCGUGCUUGAGCAUUGUAACCGUUGUAUCUAUCAGAUGACGGUGUCGACGCUCUACCAGCCCCAUCUGUUGGUACGCAUAUGGUGCGGAUCUCCGAUGUGAGAUUCCUAGUUCUGCGAAUCUUUUUCCCAAUUUUAAAUACUCUUUUGCAUUGUCUGAUUGUAUUGUAAGGAUUUUCGUUCCGCAUUGCCUUUCUGCCCAGGCUCUAAACUUCUCAAAAACUUGAUAUAUAUCACUCUUUUGAUACAUUGGGUACACCCAAUUGUAAUUGCUUCCGGCAUCUACAAAGCAUGCAUAAAAACGAUACCCUUCAAUUGAUUGAACGGGAGACGGUCCCCAAAUAUCAGUGAAAAUUAGCGCCAAUGGUUCAUAACUUGUUUUUCGACUUGGAUGAGGAAGAAAAUGGGAUUUACCAACUUGACAAGAAUUACAAAUAUUGAAAAGUUUUGAUUCUGAUUUUAUUAACCCUUGUUUUACAAGCAUAGACAUGUAUGAUGAAUUUAAGUGUCCCAAUCGACAAUGCCAGAGAUAGUGGGGAAGCUUCGUACAUGCAUUGACCGUCUUUGCUUUAUUUAUGCCCAUCAGAAGCUCAUACAAUCCGUCGUUUUCCGUACCUUCGAUCAGGACUUCAUUAGUAGCUUCGUCCCGAACCUGUACCUUCUGUGAGUCAAAUCGUAGAGAAACAUUCUUGUCAAUACAAAACUUAUUAACAUAAAGCAGAUUUCUAGUGACGGUAACAGGUCUUUAAGCACAAACAAACGAUUAUCAGUCUUGAAUAUACUUUUACCAGAAUGAGAAAUUAAAAGAGGACUGUUGUCGACCGUAUAUAUGUAUUUAUUAUUAUUACCAUUGAAUGCGCGUGGGUGCUGGAUAUUUUCCGGAGCGACUGUGAUAUGAGAAGUUACACCUGUAUCGGGGUACCACAUAGUCAUCGGAGAUUCGGAGUGGAUGAAGUAGUUGCAGUGUUGACAACCCCUCGGUUGCUCCCAUUCGGUCCUUGAGCUGAUAAUGUGCGGCCGUGUGUGGGUGGAAAUUUUGUGAUAUUUAGCAUGUUGUAGCAGUCAAUGGCAUUGUGGCCUCUUUUCACGCAAAUUUGACAUUUUGUAUCUGAUUUUGAAUAGUGAUUUGUGCUGGAUUUCGAUUGAUCUCUCGAACCACUGGGGUUUGAUUGGUUCGUAAAAUUUGCCACUUGUACACUCGUCGUCCUUGAUUUUUCAAGACGAAUGUCUUGAUCCAUUAAGUAACUCGCACAGAUGGGAGAAUGUCAAGUCAGGAUCGUACCGUGUUGUGAUCGCCGUGGAGAAGGCUUCGUAUUCGUCGCCUAAUCCAGCGAGUGUGACCAGGAUCAUCUCGGAUUCUUUGACACUCUCGCCGGUGGCUGCCAACGAGUUCCGGAGAACGGUGACCUUAGCGAUAUAGUCGCCCAUGGAGAGUCCACCUCUCUUAAUCGAUUGUAGCUGACGCCGGAUGUAGAUCUGCCUCGUCUGUGUGCUAGAAGCAUACAAUCUUCGAAGAGCCAGCCACGCUCCGGACGCCGUCUUGUAAGAAGCAAUUUGGGGCAAGAUUGACGUCGAGACUCCGGUUAAGAUCCAACUUAAGAUUAGUUGAUCUUGCUGGAUUUUCGUCGGUGUGGACAGUUCUACCUCCCCCAAAACGUAUGUCAUCAACUGGAAUCCACGAAGCAUCGCGGAAAACUGUGCCUCCCAUGAAAAAUAGUUUGAUUUCUCCAAGAGCACACACCUGAUGGGUUUUGUUACAACCUUCGUGUGUGUUGGUUGUGUGAGCACCUCACCAAUAAUUGCCGGAGUGCCGAUCGAUGUGACCGGAUUUCCAGCGCUAUCAUCAUCUUCGAAUGCAGAGGAAACUUGGUGUUGGGUUAUCAUCGUCAACUGAUUUUCAGAAGCACAACCUAACUAACUGAUACCAUAUCGAAAAUUGAGUUUGAUAUUGAAAACUAUCUUAUUUGAAUACAUGUAUAAAUUGUUAUUUAUAUACAUUAGUUUGCUAAUUAACAACUAACCGCUAAUUAAUUUACAGAUUUAUUUCUAACUACCUUGGCAGUUUGGUAACUGUCCAACACAUAUAUGUUUAUUAUGGUAUCAGAGCAUUAAGCUCAAGCAAUGGGAGAAAAAUAUACAUCCACUGCACAUGAUGCCAGUAUGCCACUACUACUCUCAAAAUCUAUGCAUCACGCUCUUGCUAUCUGAAAUUCUGAAUCUCAGUGACAACCCUGGAACACCCAUGUUCAUCAUACAAUUGGAAGGGGAUUCCAAUUUGUUUAAUUGGAUCGGAGAAAUUUAGAGAUGCGUUCAAAUAAGUGCCGGAGCUUCUCGGGUAUUCGAUUGGUGAUUUACUAUUUGGGGAAGCAAUCUUAGUCGAUUAUUGAUGAUAGUAUCACAAUUUUGCAUGGCCUUAUUAUUGAAAUAGUUGUAUAUCUACCAUAUAUGUGGAAAGAGAUCAGUUCACUAUCUUCCAUUUCCAUUCAAUCACAGAGUACUAAUUAGGUUUUACUGAAUAAUGAUCAAAGUCCAAAACGCUAAUAUCUCAAUUGUUAAAAAUAAAUACAUGAUUAAUAAAUACACCACAUAUGAUCUAGGACUCCAUGGAAUUAUUUGUAAUGUAAAAUUACCAGAUCGAGACAUGACUUGUAUCAUUCGACGCUGCAGAUCUGCACCAUUCCUUUGGACACUGCUAAAGUGAGGCUUCAACUUCAAAAAACAGCGGUUGGGUCUGGGAAUGGAGCUGGUUUGCCAAAAUAUCAAGGAAUGUUGGGUACUGUGGGUACUAUCGCUAGAGAAGAAGGUAUGGUAGCUCUCUGGAAAGGUAUUAUACCUGGAUUGCAUCGCCAGUGCCUCUUUGGAGGGCUUAGAAUUGGUUUAUACGAACCUGUAAGAUUCAACAUUUUCUUGUUUUGGAAUAAAUACAUCAAAUUUUAAUUUAAUGAUUUGGUGCCUAUUUAGGUUAAAACAUUGUAUGUUGGCAAUGAUUUCGUUGGUGAAGUUCCUCUAUCCAAGAAAAUACUUGCUGGACUUACAACAGGUCAUCAUGUUUUUCGUAACAGGGACAUAAAAAUAAAUUAGAUUUUUUUUUGCUAUGAAUCUAUGAUUUUUCUUAUCGUCGUUUUUUAUUGCUAUUAUCAAAUGACAAUUUAACAAAACAAUUUGUAGUUUUGUACUCAAGUCUUUCUGCUGAUUUCUCAAUAAAUUCAACUUCUACAUGUACCAGGCGCACUAGCUAUUUGUGUAGCAAAUCCUACCGAUCUUGUUAAAGUUCGACUUCAAGCUGAAGGGAAACUUGCUCCUGGUAUGCCAAGAAGGUACUCAGGGUCAUUGAAUGCUUAUUCAACUAUAUUCAGACAGGUUACUUCCCUAAGAUCUAAAUAAACUAAAUGUGGUUUGUUUGUUUACUCACCUGCUGCUUUAUCGAUUUUGGACAUUUAUCAUUUUUAGGAAGGACUCGGGGCUUUGUGGACGGGACUUGGUCCUAACGUUGCUCGCAAUGCUAUAAUUAAUGCUGCAGAGUUGGCUAGUUAUGAUCAAGUGAAACAGGUGAUCAAUCUUAUUUCCAUUCUUAUAAAUAUUGUGUUCUUAUAAUUUUAUCUCUCAUAUCCUCUGAUCUUUUGAUAUUUGUUGAUUUUGUGCAGACUAUAUUGAAAAUUCCAGGAUUUUCAGAUAACAGUUUAACCCAUAUUCUAUCUGGUCUGGGAGCUGGAUUUUUCGCUGUUUGCAUUGGUUCUCCUGUUGAUGUCGUAAGUGAUUUUUGUUGCAAGAGAAGUUUUACAUCACAUCGUCGUUAUUACUAGCCGUUUUGUGACUCAUCAUAAUAAAUUUGUUUGUUUAUUGUGACUCAGCAAUCUUUUCUUCCUCAACCAGCAUACUUCUCUCUGUAUUAAUAAAAAACAUUCUCAUUUUCAAUUAGGAUCAUCAUUGACCAGCUAGUUUUCUGUGUAUUUUUUAGCGACGAUGUUGAUGUCUUUUUACCAUUAAGACACCAGAGUUUAUGAUUGUUACUUGUUUUAAUUUUAUAUAAUUAUUUAAGAUUUUAAGAUGGUUAUUAAGAAGGAGAUUCGGGAAAAGCUGAAAAGAAUUGGUUUGGAUAUCAAAUGAUAUUAGUUUCUGGAUUACUGCAGUUACUUUUGCUUCUUUUUUUAUAAUAUAGUUUUCAAUAAAAAUACACAACUGAUGACCAAAGUAUAUAUUUUUGGCUAUGUACUGCAGGUGAAAUCUCGAAUGAUGGGAGAUGCAGCCUAUAAAAGCACAUUUGAUUGUUUUGUCAAAACACUGAAAAAUGAUGUAUUUCUCACAGUAUCCCUGAUUUUUUAGAUUUUAUUUUGCUGAAAAGUAGAUGCCCUUUUGUUUAUUUUACUUAAAUGUUGCCUGCAAGUUUGUUGAUGAAACUUGGUGUGAUUUUUGCAGGGUCCUUUUGCUUUCUACAAGGGUUUUAUUCCAAAUUUUGGCCGACUAGGAUCAUGGAAUGUGAUCAUGUUCUUGACCUUAGAACAGGUACUGAAAACAAAUUGUCUAUUAUUGGUAUGAUUUAAUUGAUUGAUUGCUUGCUUGCUUAAAUUUGAAUAAAUCUUUUUUUUUGCUUUUCCCCAACAGGCGAAGAAGAUUUUUGUCAAAGAAGUGCCAAACUAACUCAUAUACAAAUGGACAUUACUGAGCAUAAUAAGAAAAUUGAUAUAGCAUUUGCCAUUGCCAAAGUGGAGCGUGGUUGAAAUAUCAAACUCGUGACUUAUGAUUCGAAAAGUCAAAUUAACUGAUUAAUCAUUCAUAUAUAAGCAUACAUUGUUUAUUAAUGUCAGUGAUCUACUGAUCUUGUUGUGUGUAUUUGUAUUCUGUACAAUAAAAGAGAUAUAGAAGAUGACAGAAAUGAGAAGAAAAGGAAAGGAAUUAUACAUAAUAAAUACAACAAGGCUUUGUUGACAACAACAAUUUCAUUUGAUUCGUGUGUUUUAUUUGUUGACAACAAAAAUUCCAAAACCCAAAAAACAAAAUCAUAACACAUUAACACUUGUAAUGACAUUUGAUAGAGCAUUCAAACCCAUUUGUGAAACUUGUUUGCAUAAAAUACAAUCUUUUUCCUAAGUCUGCACAAAACGAUAUCUGCUCUUACAUUCUUCCUUAGGUAAAGUAGGAUGUAAUGCAGAUCAUCUGCAGAGAUCCUAAAUCUGGAAAGAUCCUUCAACCCCUGAUACAUUACUCUACAUGCACACACGGAAUAGUGGCAUAUCUGGUAUUCAUACUUGUCAUAGAGCACAGGCAGUGUGAGAAUGAGUAAGAGACCUGCAAGACAGGUUGUGGCAGAAACAGUAAGCACUAGAAACAAAACAUUCCAUAUCAAUGAAUCUUUGGCUGUUCUGUUACCUGUGUAGCCUAUGGUGAUGAAGUCAAAGAAAGCGCCAAGAACAGAUAGGAUCCAUAGGCACGAUGCAACUUUGUAGAAGAGAAUUGGGUUUUUUCCAAGAGCAACAUCAUAUGAAGCUGAGAAGAAAUCGUUGAAAUUUGCACGGGCAAAAGUAGCCAGUUCGUUGACUGUUUCCUCUGAAAGAUACAUCUUUGGAAUGGGUGGAGGUGGCCUGAAUGGAUGUAUGGAUUUUUUUUUUUGAAGAAAAAACAGCAGCAGAGAAAAAUCGAAACAGAAAAUUCGAAAUUACCUAUUGAGAACCCCAGCUGCUUUUGCCCAGACAAAGAGGAUAGAGAGGACGAGCAGAAGUACACGGGAGACGAGAUAGAUGAGAGUGUGACCAGACACCUGAAAAAUUAACCAUGCACUGAUCGCCCAAACAACUAUCUGUAAUGUUAAAUCUCUACGCCUCCAUAGAAUUAUAUCUGCAACUGAUCAAUUGAAUCAAAAAUCUUAGAUUUCACCUGCUUUGAAUUUGUCAAAUAUGAUAAAAUGUUUUGCUUAGUGCUUACCCAUCCCUCCUCCGAACAACUGGUGAACGAGACUCCGGUCGUCGAUCAAACGAUGAUCGUCGUCACAAGAAGGAUCCAUGGAGAAAAAAUGAGUUUUUUUUAAAGAUUAUCGAGAUCUGGAGGAAAAAGCCUGCUUGAAAGUUUGUUGUUAUUGCCAAUGCCAGUAGUGACGUACAGGAGGAAAAGAAAAGAUACAAUACAAUAAAAGAACUGUGGGCACCUGCCUGCCCGGUGGACGGUGGUGCAGAAGAAAAAAUAAAGAAGAAAGAGGACAACAACACCUCCUAAAUCUUCAUAAUUUCUAUGAUUCGUUGACCCCACUUAAACUUUAAUUGAGAAAUAAUAAUAAAGUCUUGCAAUUUAAGUCAUAAGAAUAUUAGCUCUCCUAAAAGAUCAUAUUUAUGCUUAUCUAGUUAUUAUAAAACUAAGUUAAAUAGCUAAUUUUCUUGUUUGUUUCUUUGUUACGUAAUUUUCUAUUUUCCAUGUAAUCAGAACAUCAACCUUUUAUUUUUACUAAUGAAAUUUUUUAAUUAAAUUUAAAAAAUUAUGGCUAAUGCUAAAUGAUGAUACAAAAGAUCGAUCAAGCCCAUCAUCAUUUUUUAUUCUGGGUCCCCUCUAAGAUAAAAAUGUAGUUAGAGAAUUAGAUGGGAGAAAUUAGUCACAAGUAUCACUAUCUACAAGAAAUCCACAAAUGGAUAGGAAAUGCAUCCUCUGCAAUUGCAUCGAUCUCGUUAAGUCCUUCAUAUUGGGUCAUAUCCUAAUCAUCUUGAAACUGAUAUUAUUCUCUACGAUCAAAAAAUAAAAUUACAACAAAACACUAGAAUCCUCCAUAUGACCACAUUGUACACUGAGCUAACAACAACUGUUCAGCUACUGAAUUCUUCUCCAUCCAGUCACAUCAAUUUUCCUACGAGACAUUCAAGCAUUACAGAUUUACAGAUAAGAUCUCUAUCUCAAUAACAUUUCAGCUAUAUUCUGAAAUGCUUUGUUUGUGACUUUGUGGAAUACAACAUCAUUGGUUUUGAACAGAAAGCAAAAUUAAGUCACACGAGCAAAAUAGAUAAGAAUCAUAAAGUAUAGGACUUGAACAUAUCAGAAACCACGCCGCCAAUUCUCUCCGGCAUAAACAGCUUGAUCACCAAGUUCUUCCUCUAUACGAAGUAGCUGUUAACAGAAGAAAAAACAAGCAUUCAGAAUGAAAAUAUUAAAUUGUAUCAAAUCAUCAUUUAAUCAUUUAGCUUAAACAGCUAACUAUAUUAUAAAAUCGAUGUGCAAUAUGAAUGAAUAAAUACAAACAUUUAUUCAAACACAAUAUUGUUUGCUGCUAAAAUAGACGAAAGAUUUGGAAACCUUCUCUGAAUUUACAACAAAGAUUUAGUGUACGUCCAGUAGCCCAUCCAUGGAUAAAAUGUGAAAAUACUAUGUGGAUGCGAGAGAGAAUUUAUUGGUUUCAAGUUACUUGGGUUUCUAGUUAUAACGGACGGCUGUACUUCAUACAUGAAACAUAGUCUAUAGCUAAACGACAGAUACUAUCAAAACAUAGUCUAUGAACGUAAAUCAAUUGCAACUGCCUAAAUACGAAACUAUUUUGUUAAAUAGAUUUUCACAGGAAAAUCCAAUCACUAGUUAAAUAAUACAUGGCUGUGAGUCUAUGAGCCAAAAUCUGAACUCUGGUAUAUAUUUGAUGAAUUGAUGACUGAUGUAGACGCAUCUAAACUCAGUUCAAGAAAACUACCUGGUUGUAUUUAGAAAGACGCUCCCCACGGCAAGGUGCACCAGCUUUAAUCUGACCGGUACCAAGUCCUACUGCUAAAUCAGCAAUGAAGGAAUCUUCGGUUUCCCCGCACCUAUGAGAUACAAUAACACCCCAAGAGGCAUCUUUUACCUGCUUCACGACUUCAAUGGUUUCUGUGAUAGUACCUAUCUGAUUAACCUGUAUAUGUAUAGAAUUUCAGUCAAAAAAAUUGUUGAAAAUGUGUAAUCAUCCAAUGAACACGAUAAAAACUAAUUACCUUAAGAAGAAGGGCAUUGCAUGUUUGUUCAUGUAUUGCCCUCUCAAUUCGCUUUGGGUUUGACAUCAAUAACUCAUCUCCUGCAACCUGUACGCCACUUUGUCAAUAUUUGAUUUCAUUUUAAAGUGAAAAUUAUUCAGAAUAAGUUCACCACACCUGGCAAACCCCAUUACUAGAAAAUAAUUUAGUGUGUUCCCAAUCAUCCUUAUUGAAUGGCUCCUCCAUGGAAACAAUCGAAUAAUCUGGGUAUAAAAAAUUGCACAAGCAUCCAUCCAUCAAGUAUAUGGUUAUCAAAUUCAAAUGUGAAAAAAAUCAGAUAGGUGCCAUUGAAGCUACCUCUGCAGAGUUGGGUGUAUAUCUCAACCAUAUCUUCUCCUGUCUUAAAAUUUUGUCCAGAUUUAUCAGGUGAUUUGAAGUCUAAGUCAUACUUAUUUCCUGUUGAAAAGUAAAAUUAAACAUAUAUUCCCAAUGCGAUUGUAGUAAAAAAUAUUAUAAUAACAUUAAACAGAAAAGAUUUGGGAGAAAUAAAAUUCUAUAGCUAUAACUAAAAUGUUAAAACUGUUUUUCUAUAAACUUGAAAUAAAAAUGUGCCAAAAUAACCUAUGCAAAAGUCUGUAGCAGCAACAUCCAAUGCUAAUUGAAUUCUACUACCAUAACCAGUUCUGUUGAUUGCCUCCUUAACCAUGUCCAAAGCCUCUGUAAAACUGUAAACAAUGUAAAAAAAAGUUAACCAAAUUGUUACAUUACUUAUACGGUAGAUGAGUCUAAGCAGGAAAGCCAAAAUAAUCCUGCCUGGAGAUAUCUGGAGCAAAUCCACCAUCUUCACCUACAUUACAUCCAAUGGAACCAUAUUUCUCGGUAAUUACAGUCUGCCAUUUCCAAAAUAAAAGGAAUAUGCCCAUUAAAUCAGAAAAUUAAAACAUAAAUAAAACAAUCAAAUACGACUAAUUGAUAUUAGUUUUUAUGUAAAGGAUCAAAGCACAAAGGGAAGAAUAUUGAACUCAACAAUUGGUAAAAUAUAAAGCAACUUUAGAAUGCACCACGUAUUACCAUGUACCACACAGAAGUGUCAUAAUUUCAUAGUGACAAGACAUUCAAGGGUAAAAAAAUCCAUGCAUAGGAGGAUACUGUAAACAGUGUUUCGAUUGUUAAUGUUUCAAAAAUAAAACUGGAAAAACUUUUAAUAUCAAUCAGAAAAGUAAAACCAGAAAAGAAAAAACCAGAAAACAAAUCGGAGAAGAAGAAGAAGAAACAAAUUCGUCAAAAUAAAAAAUACAAAAAAAUUGACAAAGAAGUAGACAUAUCUUUCACGAAUUACCUUUAGGUGAUGAUAUGUCUCAGAACCCAUCUCCAUUGCUUCCUCAAAAGUGUUGGCACCAAUAGGGAGAAUCAUGAUUUCCUAAUAGGAGUUUGCUUGUCAGCACAUUUUAUGUUUUUCAAAGAAAUUGAGAAAAGUCUUUUUUUUAGCUUAAUAAAGACACUAAAAGAUAAAUUUUGGAACCAAUAGAAGCAUUAUUAUGGUUCAUUAAUCCGUAUCAUGGUUUUAUGUCGCCACAUAUGCAGAAAUCGGGGGGCUCCUAUAUGGUUUAAUCCAUGUGAUUAUCAGGUUUUGAAAUUAAAAUAGAUGAUCAUGAAUCAUGAUUUCCUCGCCAACUUUAGCAUGCUCCAGUGAUUCCAAGAAUGCUCCAACAAGAUUCCAAAGCCAUUCUUCCCCUCCCAAACUUGUUUUAUGUAUUUAAGCAAAUAAAGUAUUUUUUUCCAGUCACAUAGUCGCAGGUAAAAGUAUAAAACCUCAGUUCAUACAUAUUAAACUGUCAUAAUUAUUCUGUCAGAACCUUAAUAAAGGCAUAUCCAUUUAAUCACACAGAUAUUCAUGAGAAAAUGGAUACCAUGGAAUAUCGAAAAUUGAUACAAUGAAAUAUUUGAUCGAAAGCAAUUUCAUCCAUACUCAAUAUUAGACUACUAGUAAGUAGUAAUGGGAUAUUAGGACUUAAAUGAGAUAUUUUAAGAAAAGCUACAAAAACACACAGAUAUUUUUAAACAUAAUAAAUUAAAAAAUAUUGAAUUUGAACUAUUGAUUACAUAAUUUGCAUUCAUGGCUGAAUCUGCAUAAUUUGAACUAUAAACUAAGUAAUUAAUAAAUAUUGUGUGGGUUGUAUCAUCUGAGUGCUAAAAGAAAAUUAUUUUAUUUAAUGAUUUUUUAUUGAACAAAUUUAUGGUAAAAUAAUGUGAUUAGAAAAUGAUCCAAAUAUCCAAUGAUAGAACAUUUAGAAAGACACCCAUCCUGAUAAAAGACUGACAAACAUAUGGAUUAAUAACCUGGGUAUGUAUGUCAUACUUGCGCUGCCAGGUAAUUUCCAGCAUGCUUUCCUCCGCUGAUGAGGGUUAUGAAAGGAACUGGAAGAACAGGAUUGCUUUUACCAGCGAGAUCACCAAUAUAUUCGUAGAGUGGAAUCUGCAGCAAAAGAAAAUAAUGGAACUAGUUUUUAGACUUUUAAUUCUUAUGUCAAAAUCUUUUCAUAUUACCAAAAUAACAGCCAUACCUCCUUUUCAGCAGCACCAGCUUUGCACACGGCAAUUGAAACAGCCAACAUGGCAUUUGCAUCAAGUUCAGACUGCACGGAAUAGCAUAUCUUGUUAUAAAAGAUUACAUAAUAAUUCAUUUUCUAUUAAGAAAUUAAAUGUAUUUAGACCGGAAUACAUUAAUUAAAAGGAUAAGAAAAAUAAUCAUAAAAAAAGAACUCGCCUUAUUUUCUGUUUUAUCCAGAUCUAUCAUUGCCUGAUCGAUCUGAGAUUGGAGAAUUGGAUCCAUACCAACCAAAGCUUCAGAAAUUUUCUCGUUGAUAUUUUUAACAGCUUUAGAGACACCUUUUCCUAUAUAUUUUUCAUUCCCACCAUCACGUAGCUCCAAAGUGUCAUACCUAGUACAGAUUCACAGGAGAUGAAAUUGCUAAAUGACACAACAUCAAUUCAACAGAAAAAGAAAAUAAAUAAAUGACUGAAUAAAAAAAAUCAACAGGGUAAUUCUACUGAGUAAGCUGAAGGGUCUCGAAAAUACAAAUUACAAACUAUAAGAAGAUCGGUCAGUACUCAGUGGAUAGAGAACAAAAGACUUGAUUAUGUAUUGGAUUUUAUUUUAUGAAGAUAAUAAAACAAAAACAACCUAAAUUAUUUUAUAUCAAGAAUUGAAAUGAACCAGGACUUUAAUAUUGAAUUAAACAUACUUGAGGAUACUGUGACAUUUUUCCUGGAAAAACACAACAAAAAUGACAAAAGAAGAAGAAGAAAACUAACAUUCCAGGAGCGGUGUCGCUGGGAGAAGCAGCACGGAACAUGCCUUUAUUGGUGUAAAGAUCGACCUCGACGGUCGGAAUCCCUCGACUAUCCAAGAUCUGCCUCGCCUUUAUCUUGGUGAUAACAGAAGGAACUGCCUUCCUCAUAUGAUUGGACUACCAAAGAAACAUGAACAUUCGACAUCAUAUAAUACCAAUAAAACAAGUAUGAAAGAAACCCCUAAUCCACUUACGAUGAAGAGGACAGGAUCUGACGAUUUGGCCUUGACGGCGGCAUUGACGGCAUCCUCGAUCCUUCGAGAGAGCAUGUGCUUAUCGAGAUAAUCUUGGACUGACAUUUUCCCGAACAGAUCGGAUGCGGAAUUGGAGGAGUGUGUUGGAAUGAUCGAUCGGCAAGCGCAACGACCGCAAGUGGUAACUGGUAAAAGGUGAAGGAAAAAAGAAAAACAUCUUUUUAAAUACCAAAUGAGUAAUCAUAAUAAAAAUUAUUAAUUUCAAGGCUGUAAAUAGGUCUUGGAUCGAUUUUGGAUCCAUUAAAAGAUUUGGACCCGGAGACCUGGAUACGGACCCGAUCAAUUAAUGGUCCGAAUUCAGAUUAGCCAGAGUGCCAGACCUGCUGGAUCCGGACCUGGUUAUUAUAAAUGUUAGGUGAAUAUAAAUAUUUUAGUUAGUUAGGGUUUAAAUAUAAAUAUUUUAUAAUAUAUUAGUAACUUAAAGUUUAAAUAUAAAUACACCAUUUAUAUUUUAUAGUAUAUUUAAUUAUUUAUUAAUUUAUUUAGGUAAAUAAAAAAUUCUUUUUUUUUGGCCUGGGCCUCUGGCCAAUUUCAUGGGUCUGCAUCCAGGUCCAACCCAACCAGUUCAGAUCUGACCCAUUUACAGCCGGGUGAAUUUCGUUAAUAUCCACAUUGCUGCACAUUUGACCGCACUUGUAUCCGAGAAAAAUCGAGAUCCAGAUCCAGAAUGUGAAAUGUGUACCUCAAAAAUCUUAUAUAAAAACCCGACCUUGUGAGUCGAUCGAAACCUCCUCCUUUUUAGCAUAUUCGUACGUCGUCAUCGAUCGAGGUAGAGAGAGAAAGAAGAAAAUGUUUGUGAACAAAAUGAAGGCAUUGUUGUCAUGCCAAAAACAUAACCAUCGUUCAGCGGAGAUGAAAAGAAAAUUAUUAAUUUUGGAAGAACACAAUCACCGUCACCGUCUCCAAAAAUUCAAAAACGUUGGUUUUUGUAACAUGGUGUGCCGAUGGCAAUUGUUUUUUUUCAUUUUCAUAUCGACUGUUAUUUUCUUCUACUCUGAGAUUCAGGACGAGGAGAAAGUCGGUUUUGAAGUUGAAGUCAAGGUACGCGUAUAAAAUCAAUCGAUUUAACUGCUCUAUCACCUUUCAUUUAAUCAAUUGAUACAUUAAUAAUUAUAUAUAUCAGUUUCCUUUGCCGAUGAUGAGAAACGACAUCGGAGAAAAAGACAAAAAAUAUCUACCGUGCAUCGCCGACAGAAAUAUCCCAAAUAACAAUGAUGCAAUAAACAACGAUGGAUAUCUUGUGAUCAAUGCAAAUGGUGGGUUGAAUCAGAUGCGGAUAGGAAUCUGUGAUAUGGUCGCCAUAGCUAAGAUGAUGAAUGCCAGUCUUGUUAUUCCUUCAAUGGAUGGUACCUCGUAUUGGAACGAUCAAAGCGAGUUUAAAGAUAUCUUCGACGUUGACCAUUUCAUUCAAACUCUACAAGAUGAAGUGCAGGUAGUGGAAUCACUUCCAUAUGAAUAUUCCAGCAUCAAGCCAUUGAAACAACCACCAAUUUCUUAUUCAAAGGUAUAAUAUUAUAUAUAUUAAUUAGUUUAAUUUAAGUUCGAUCUGAUUAACCCAUAUUCGAUCAAUCCAUUCAUUCAUCAAUCAUAUUUUAUGAAUUCAUUAUUAAGAGCGAUUACUACGAGAAAAAGAUGAAGGAAUUGUUGAAGGAGCGCAAGGUUGUUGAAUUCACCCAUGCAGAUUCGAGAUUGGCGAACAACGAUAUACCUCCGUAUUACCAGAAACUUCGGUGCUUUGCAAAUUACGAAGCGCUUCGAUUCACAGAGGAGAUCUAUGAUGUUGGAGAGAUGGUUUUUCAAAGAUUAAUGCGACGAAGCAAUGGGAAAGGGUACAUAGCUUUCCACCUGAGAUACGAAAAGGAUAUGCUUUCCUUCACCGGAUGUAACCACAAUCUGACCAAAUGGGAGGCUGAGGAGUUAGACGACAUGAGACGUCGUAACAAACGUUGGAAGGAAAAGAAAAUCAACGGCGAGAAGAAACGUAAGGAAGGAAAAUGUCCGAUGAGUCCUCGUGAAACUGUAUUAUUCUUGAAAGCCAUGGGUUUCCAACCCAAUACACAUAUAUACAUCGUCGCUGGGGAACUGUACGGUGCAAACAGUAUCAAAACUAUUACAUCUGAAUUCCCAAACUUACACACACAUCAAAGUGUGCUCGCCGGAACAGAUCAAUUGAAGAAAUUUAACAGGUAUCAGAAUCGAAUGGCUGCUGUGGAUUACCAUGUUGCAGUGAAGAGCGACGUGUUUAUAUUCAGUUACAAUGGGAACAUGGCUAAGGCUGUUCAAGGUUACAGGAGAUUCCAUGGAUUCCUACCAACUAUUAACCCGGACAUACGUAUGAUAAUACACCUUAUUGAUAGAUUGGACAAUGGGGAGUUUAGUUGGAAUGAAUUUGCAUCAAAGGUGCAAUCCUCCCAUCCGCCGGAGAGACUUGGAGCGGCUUAUGAAAGGAAACCUGGUAAAAUUCCCAAGUUAGAAGAGAAUUUUUACGCAAAUCCCUUUCCUGAUUGUUUUUGCUACUCAAAUUCUUCCAUUCAAACCAUUUGGGACUAGCUAGGCGCCGGAGAUCAAUCGAAGUGCAUUAAUUGAUUAGUUUUUUUUAACUUCGCUCGAUCAUACCCUCUUAAUAAGCUCUAGCUACCAUGUGUUGCUUCGUUUUCUUGAUGAUUUGCUCUUUUAUACUCUCCAUUUUAUGUUCCGAUUUACCAUAGGUUGUUUGUUAGGUUUCCUAGCUAGCUUGGAUUGUUAUGGUCAAGAUUGGAAAAAUAAUUGUAUUUUCAAAAAUUGGAUGAAUAAGAUGUUUCCUUCACGAUUUCUUUCUUGUAUAUUUUCACUUUGUUUUCUAAUAAAACGUAUUUUCACACGAUGUUUCCAAGACGACGCUACGAAUUCCCAACCGUUGAGAAUGCUCAACAUCAAUAAAUACAAGACAUACUCAACAUUGGAAACUACUGGUUAUCACUCUAUUUUGAAUUCAAAGUUCAUACUUCCACUGGAAAUCGGAAGUCGGAUAGACGGACGGAUGAUGGGGAUAGACGGACGGAAGUCGGAAGACAAGUAAUAACUGGCCGGAAAUGUUUUAUUUAAUGUGAUAAAAUCAAAUUGAAGAUUGAUACAACGAUUUGACGGAAGGAAAAUAAACGCGAACAGGAAAUCGCGAUUGUGGGAGCACGCUGAACGACUGGAGAAACGGAAGUCGACGUCGCGCAGGGGAGCCAGACCAGGGGAAUAGUGUUGGAUAAUAACUGCCUCUUGGUGGAGGUGAUGAUCAUACCUUUAUAGUGAGCUGAGGGCCAGAUCUAUCCUUGUGCACUCCUUCAUGGGUUGGGCUCCCGUCCUUGGGCUGGAUUACAUACUCAUGCAUACUGAAGAAGCAAGCAUUUCUUGGAAGGAUCUCCAAAAAAGGUAUAACCAAGGAAAUGCACCUAAGGUUAACCAAAUAAGGUAUGAUCUAAACAAUUUACAUCAAGGAUCUGAUAGUGUCACUGUUUUUUAUGAUAAAUUCAAAUCCCUAUGGAAUCAAAAAAUAAAAUUAGAAGACAUUGAUUUUUGUAGUUCAUGCACUCCCAAAUACAAUGUCAAACUAGAGAAGGAUAAAAUUCAUCAGUUCUUAUUAGGACUGAAUGAAGAUUUUAAGACCUUAAGAGGGCAAAUCCUUUCAUAUGAUGAGCUACCCAACAUGAACAAAGUUUUUUUAUCUUGUCAUACAAGAGGAAAAACAGAAAAUCUGUUUUAGAGAUAAAAUUGAUAAGCCUAUAGAAUCAUCUGCCCUAUAUGCUAAAAGAACAAAUGAAGAAGAAGAGGAAAAAGGAUUUUAUAGCAAAAAUGGCAAAAAAUUAGAUGCUUCAAAAUACUGUGACAAUUGCAAGUAUUAUGGACAUAUAAGAAAAGAUUGCUAUCACAUAUAAGAAAGGAAACAAGUUCAAGAAACCUAAUAUUGAGUCUGCAAAUCAAGCCUCAUCCUCAAACUCUACCAUUCCAGGAAUGUCUAGUGAAGAAAUUCUAAUGCUCAAGGACUUCUUGAAAAACAAUGGUAUGAGUUAUUUUUUUAAUGCUUUAAAUUUUAAAAUAAAUCAUUUAUACAAUGUGAUAGAUCUUAAAACAAAAAGGAUCAUAGACACUGGAGCUUCCCAACAUAUGACUGGGAAUCUUCAGAUCUUUGAUAAACCACCAACUGAAAAUGGUGAACAUUUUGUCACCAUUCCAAGUGGUGAGACAUGUAGAACUAAAUCAACAGGAAAAAUAACAUUUUCCAAAGAUCUAAUUUUACAAGAUGUUCUUUAUAUACCACAAUUUAAAGUAAACUUAAUUUCAGUAAACAAACUAACUCUGGACAGCAAUUUAAAAUUUUUAUUUGAUGAUAAUUAAAAAUUGUUAUUUUCAGGGAAGCAAGUCAGGGAGAGUGAUUGGGAAGGGUAGGAGCCAAGAUGAGCUCUACAUAUACAGUUCUAAUCCCCCUGGUUAUGCAUAUACAUCUCUAGACUCUAGAACUUGGCACAACAGACUUGGACAUAUUCCCAAUGAGAAGCUUGUUAUGUUAGUCAAAAAUCAGCAAAUAGAAUGUAGAAUAAAAAGUCUACUAUGUAAUAAAAAUUCUGUUUUGGAUGAUUGUAAUAAAGUUUUUUCCAAUAAAGAUUGUGAUGUUUGUCCUUUAUCUAAACAAAAUAAACUCAAAUAUACAAAAAGUAUUUCAAUUAGUAAAAACUUAUUUGAUCUAAUUCAUAUAGAUAUUUAGGGCAAAUUCCCAAUUACUACUCAUGAUGGUUUUAAGUAUUUUUUAACCAUUGUAGAGGACUUAAGUAGGACAACUUGGAUUUUCCUAAUAAAAGAUAAGUCCAUGGCUUAUGAAUGCAUAAGGAAGUUCAUAAUCAAAGUUAAGAACUUCUUCUCUAAAAAUAUAAAAAUAAUAAGAAGUGAUAAUGGUGGAGAAUUUAAAUCAAAUAAAUUCAAAGAUAUGCUUGAGAAUCUUGGAAUUUUACAUCAAAUCACAUGUCCCUACAACCCUCAACAAAAUGCAAGGGUUGAGAGAAAACAUAGGUACUUACUUAAUAUAGUUAGGUCCCUACACAUACAAGCCAAUAUUCCCCUAAAGUAUUGGGGAGAAUGCAUAUUGACUGCCACAUAUAUUAUAAAUAGGAUCCCAUCAAAGAUUCUAGAUAAUAAAAUCCCUUUUGAAAUCCUACACAAACAAAAACCCAAGUACAAUUUUUUAAGAACUUUUGGAUGUCUAUGUUAUGCAACAACACAUAAUAGAGAACACAAGUUCUCUCCAAAAUCUUUUAAGGGAAUAUUCAUGGGAUAUCCUCCCAACAUAAAAGGAUAUUUGAUACUUUGUCUAGAAGAUGAAAAAAUUUAUAUUCGUAGGGAUGUUGUUUUUAGAGGAUAUUUUUCCUUUCAAUCAAACUACAUUCAAGAUUGAUCAAAACAAAACAGAAAAUAUCUUUCCACUGCAAAAAAUAUUUAAUGAAGUAUUGGAAGAACAUCAUCCCAAGGAAGAUGGUUUUGAAAUCAUCAAAACAACCAAAAACAAAAAUUAUAAAAAAAUUCUAGACAGACCAGGUAUAACUGGAAAUAACCAAUUUGGUCAGUCUAGAAUCAUACCAAUAAAUAAAGAAUCAGACAUGCCAGAUAUAGCUGAAGAUAAUCAGCCUGCCCAGCCUGAAAUCACACCUGAAAACCAGCAAUUAGACAGGCCAGACAUAGCUAAAAAUGAUCAGUCUGGCCAGUCUGAAACUAUAACAGAAAACACAUUAAAAGUUGCCCUGGACAGGCCAGAAACAACUGAAAAUGAUCAGUCUAGAACAGUUGGUAAUAACCAAUCUGAGCUAAGACAAAUCAGCACUUUUAACUCAGAAAAUCAAGGACAAAAUGAAGGGAGUCCAGUCCAAACUGAUCAUAUAGAAAAUAAUAGAAGUGAUCAUAGAAAUCAAAAUAAAGGAUUGAAUUCAAACAAAAAUAAUGAAAAUAACACAAAACAAGUUAAAAAUAUAAAACAAACAAGGUUGGGCAGGAUUAUAACCAAACCCAAACACUUUAGUGAUUUUUAUAUGGAUGAUGAAUCACCCAAGAAAAUCAAAUAUCCUAUGAGCAACUAUGUGUCAUACCAUAGAGUGAAUGACAAACAUAAGGAUUUUCUGAAACAAAUCACUACAAACAUUGAACCAAGAACCUUCAAUGAAGCAUCCACUAUCCCAAAAUGGGUAGAGGCAAUGAAAAAAGAGAUGGAGGCUCUUGUCUCAAACAACACUUGGGUCAUAACUGAACUUCCAAAAGGAAGAAAAACAGUAGGAUCCAAGUGGAUAUACAAAAUAAAAUACAAACCAAAUGGAGAUAUUGAAAGAUAUAAGGCAAGACUAGUAGCAAAGGGUUUCUCUCAAAAAAAGAAUUUUGAUUUUUAUGAAACCUUUACACCAGUUGCCAAAAUGACAACAGUAAGAAUUCUUAUUGCCUUUGCAGCUCAUAAAAGGUGGAACCUCUAUCAAAUAGAUGUUAACAAUGCCUUCCUUCAUGGAGAUCUCCAUGAGGAAGUGUAUCUAAAACUACCCCAAGGUUUACUCCAAGAAGGAGACAAAAGAGUAUGCAAGCUCGGUAAGUCAUUAUAUGGCCUUAAACAGGCCUCUAGGAACUGGUUUGAAAAAUUAAGAACCACACUUUUAAAAAUGGGUUUUAAACAAACCAAAUCAGACUACUCCCUCUUCAUAGAGAAAAAAAUGAAAACAUAAUUUAUCUAAUUGUAUAUGUAGACGACAUAAUCAUCACAGGCAGCAAUGAGCUAGAAAUAGGAUUUUUAAAAAUACAAUUAGAAAAUAAUUUUAAACCAAAAGAUUUUGGAAAAUUAAGCUAUUUUCUAGGAAUUGAGGUAUCAUAUUCUAAUGAAGGUAUUCCUUUGUCUCAAAAGAGAUAUGCCUUAGAAAUACUUGAGGAAAGUGACAUUUCAGGUGCAAAAGAAUCUAAAAUACCUAUGGAAAGGAAUAUAGAUCUCAAAAGUGAAUCUAAACCAAUUCAAGAUCCAACAUUCUAUAGAAAACUAGUUGGAAAACUGAUAUACCUCAAUAUCACAAGACCUGACUUAAGCUAUGCAGUUCACUGGCUUAAUCAGUUCAUGAGUGAACCAAUAGAAGUUCACUUAAAAGCCUUAUUCAAAGUAUUAAAAGCCUUAUUCAAGCACUGGUCAUCGACAAAGGUGUUGAAUCGACGGCGCGGACAGUCCGAGGACUUAUGGCUGGGUUGUCCACAUUUGUAGCAAAUGAGUGGGGGUCGGGUGUAGGGGUCGUUUGUUGGCUUCGGUCGUUCUCCGAGUAGGCCCUUACCAUUCUCGGGCAUGUGGCCAAGGGACGAAUCAACGCCGGCGGGUCGAGAAUAUGCGGGCGGACGGCUGCUCCGAGCUAAUUAUUUUUCGAUCUGUGACGCCCAGUUCAUUGAAUCGGACAGAGAAUAAGUGGAUAACACGGACACUCGAUCUUGGAUUGGGAUUCUCAACUCGGAGAUGAAACGGGCGAUCAUUUUCUCCUCUCCUUCCUUGAGUUCGCUACGGGUGGAUAAUCGGUGGAACUCGUCUGCAUAGGUGUCGACGGAACGAGACCCUUGGCGACAAUUAUUGAGGUACUCGGUAAACAAAGCUCGUUGAUAGUUAGCCGGGAGGAACCUCUCAUACACGAGGCUCUUCAUUUUCUUCCACGUGGGGAUUGGUCCCUUAUUUCGAUUUGCACGGUUGGCCUGUGUUUGGCGCCACCCUUGAGCCGGAGUGCAACGAGCUGAGCGGUGUUGUUGUCGUCAACGGGGACAUAGGUAAAGUAGUCCUCAACGUCGGCGACCCAAUCGACGAAUGCCUCGUUGUUGGUUAGUCCACAGAAGACGGGAAUGUCGGCCUUGAGUCGACUGGCACGAUGUUAUGGGAAGUGGUGUUGGUGCUGGUCUUGGUGUGGAGGUGGUGGACGGUGGUGAAGUCUUCGUCGGACGAGGCCUCCUCCCAUAGAGGAAUUCCCGAUGGUCGGUGGUGAGUGGUCGGGGGAGGUCGGGGUGGUGAAGUGGGAUUGAAUUGGGUGAUGUCGGAUGUACCGGGCUGUGUGGUGGGAGGGAGGUAUAUGCCAGGGGUGUAAUAGAUCCCGUAAGUACUGAUGCGUUGAUCGUAGCUAGCAUCGUUCGCACCUCGCGACGUUGCUCGACACACUGGUCCUUCAACAACUCGACCAUCUUACGCAACAUCUCUUCCUAGAACACGACCAGUUCCGACUGCUGGAUGAGUGGGUCGCUUUGCUCUGCCAUUGGACCAGACACACGUGAGUGAAGGUGUGAGAAUCUGUCUCUGAUACCAGUUAAUGGGGAUAGACGGAUGGAAGUCGGAAGACAAGUAGUAACUGAUUGGAAAUGUUUUAUUUAAUGCGAUAAAAUCAAAUUGAAGAUUGAUACAACGAUUUGACGGAAGGAAAAUAAACGCGAACAGGAAAUCGCGAUUGCGGGAGCACGCUGGACGACUGGAGAAACGGAAGUCGACGUCGCGCUUGGGAGCCGGAUCAGGGGAAUAAUGUUGGAUAAUAACUGCCUUUUGGUGGAGGAGAUGAUCAUGCCUUUAUAGCGAGCUGGGAGACAGAUCUGUCCUUGUGCACUCCUUCAUGGGUUUGGCUCCCGUCCUUGGGUUGGAUUACAUCAACGAAUAUUCUUGCGAUCUCUGUCUUCGAUCUGCUCAUUCCAUCUUCCGCUGCUACAGACAUCUAUCUUCAACAUCACAGUAUCUAUUUUUACGUACAAUAUCUUUAUAUCUAUUUUGCUCACAACAUAAACUAUAUUUCUAUCUAUUCCUGCAUACACGUGACUUCGUACUUCGUGAUCUUAGACAUACAUAUAUUAAAUAAUAUAAAUCUGUUCAUACGUUUUUCUUACAUACAGUAACAUAUAUCACGAAUACAUAUUCAUCACUCUGUUGCACCAUAUAAGUAUAUAAUAAAGUUAAGAUCAAUAUUACUCAACACACACAUAUAUAUAGAUUAUUAUUGUCGAAUUUUAACAUGCUAUCAGAGUAGUAAGACCCUGCCCUGCACAAAAUAUAAGACUGCAGUUGAUCAUCAAAAAAGGGAGUUUUUCCUUCCCUCACAAAGAGAGACAAAAUAUACAAAAAAAAGGUUUUUUUCCUCAAAAAAAGAGACAAAAUAUAAACAAAAAAAAAGUUUUUGGUGGACCAGCUGAAUCUAUUGGAUCAUUAGCCGGAGUCUUAGGGGACGACGUGUUUGGAGUGCUCGUCGACUUCUCCGACUCUCUGUUGGACGAUUUUCUGUGAUCGGAUCCGACGUUUUAUGUGAGUUAAUUUUGGGUUUAAGAAGUACUGAAAAUUUGGGUUUAAGAAGUACUGGAAUUUUGGGUUUAAGACGUUUCUGUGAUCGCCCAUUUUUUCACUUUAAUGUAGUAUUUUGUACUAUAGAAGUAAACCGUGAUGCUAUGGUUUGUUGAGCAAAUUGUUGGAUCUGUUUCUUGGCAUGGAAAUACAAAAUACCUCUUAAACCCAAAUUUCCAGUACUUUUUAAACCCAAAAUUAACUCACACAAAACGUCGAAUCUGAUCAUAGAAGAUCGUCCAACAGAGAGUCGGAGAAGUCGACGAGUCCUCCAAAGUUUCUUGGCUUACAAAGUUUCAAAAGAUCCUACAACCCAACAAACAACUAUCCUAGAAGAGAAAACAAACAAUUUGGUAAAAAUUUCAAUGCCAACAGACAAAAUUUCAGAGCAAAUAACACUUACACUGAAGAACAAUAGGAACAACAAGAACAACAUAAUUGGGAUGACUAUGAGUACCAUGAUGAUCACAGCCAAGAUGAUCAACUUGACCACCCAAUUGAUAGCAGAGCUAAUCAUUCACUAAGUCAACCAAGCUACACUCUCACAAACGACCAACUCAUGAUGUUACUACAAGCACAAAACAUGCCUAAACACUCAGCAAAUGUGGGAAGAACAAGAAGAGACACAUCCACAACCCACAACAUAGAAACAACAGGUAUAUUACCAUCAAUAUCUCACUGUUUUAUUUCAAGGGCAAAUAAGCAAAAUGAGUGGAUAAUAGAUAGUGGGGCCACAUACCAUAUGCGUGGUCCACAUAUCCAACUAUCUAACAUAAGGGCUCUACCUCACCCUAUUACAGUCCAUAUGCCCAACUCAAGCAUAGUAACUGUACAUGAGUUUGGGACCUUCACUUUAAAUGAAAAUUUAACACUAUAUCCAGUGUUAAAAAUUCUAAAUUUUAAUGUUAACUUAAUUUCUGUCACGAAAUUGACUAAAUCAAUUAAUUGUUCCUUUAAUAUUUUAUCAUGAUCACUGCCUAAUACAGGAUUCGAAGAUGAAUUUGAUUUCUAUGGGUAAAAAGAAGGAAGGACUCUACAUCUUGUCCACAAAGGAGGCAAAACAAAAGAAGACGAGCAAAUUUAGCACAAUUUACCUCUGCAGUAUCAUGACACAGAAGACUAGGACAUCCAUCUAUUUUGAGAUAUAACUUAAUUAGGAAAAACAAUUCAUCAAUUCCUAUUUUGAAAGACCAUAUUUGUAAUGAAUGUCCAACUACUAAAUUCAUUAGACUAUGUUUUCCUGUUAGUACUUUUAAGACUACGAUUUUUUUUGAAUUAUUGCACGUUGAUGUUUGGGGAAAGUGUAAAACACUAACCCACAACAACCAUCAUUAUUUUUUAACCAUUGUUGAUGAUUUCAGUAGGGCUACUUGGAUAAUUGUACUACAUGACAAAAGAGAAACCACUGAAAAAUUAAAAUCAUUUAUAAAAGAAGCAACAAAUCAAUUUGAUACAUCUCUAAAACCAAUCAGAACCGAUAAUGGUACUGAAUUCCUAAAUAAAGAACUUCAAAAUUUCUUAAAGGAAUUAGAAAUCAAACACCAACUAACAUGCCCUUACACCCCCACAACAAAAUUUGAUUAUUGAAAGAAAACACAUGCAUCUCCUAGACACAACCAGAUGUCUGAUGUUUCAAUCAAUUUUUGGAUUCUUGAUUUUUCAAAACCUACAUCAAGUCAACAACACAAUAAUUUAAUUAGUGAAUUAAUUAAAACAUUAUAUAAAUUAUUUAUUUAAUCAAAUCAAUUUAUAAAUUAUUUAAAAAUAAUCAAUUAAAUAAUUAAUUAAAACAUUUAUAAACAGUAAAUUCAAUAAUUCAUAAAUAACAAAUAAAAAAUUAAAUAAUCAUUCAUUUUUAAACAAAAAAUAAUUUUAUUAAUAAAAACAAUAAAUUAUAUAUUUAUUACAUAAGAAUUAUUUUAUAAUUUAAUGCAAAAUUUUCAUUAUUUAAAACAAUAUGUUAAUUACUUAUAUAAUUAAUUAAAACUUCGUUUUAAUUAUUUUUAAAAAGUAAAUAAAAUAUUUAAUAAAUUAAUUAAAACAAAAUAAAAUAAUAUUUCAAGCAAAUUAAAUAAUAUUUCAUUUUCAUUAAAACAAAAUUAUUUCUUUCAAAUAAUUCAUUAAUAAUUGAUUUCAUGCAUAUUUAUUUCAUGUAAAUUAUUAGUUUCAUGUAAACUUAAUAAUUUAAAUUAAAUAAUUUAAAUAUAUAUGAUUCAAAAUUUAUUUUUAACAUUAUAAUUUCAUAUAACCAUUCAUAAAAUAUAUCCAUUCAUCAAAUAUUAUUUGAUAUUAUAACCAUUUCAUUUUAUUAUUAUUUCAUAACAAUCAUUCAUAGAAUUAAUAUAACUAUUUGAUAUAACCAUUUAAUUUAAUUUUUUUACGAAUCAUUCAUAAACAUACUAAAAUAAUUCAUUAAAUUUAUCUUUUAUUCAUACUGCAUGUAGACAUUAAUUUUUCAUUCAUAUAUAACAAUUACAACAUAAAACAAGAAAUCAAUAACAAGAAAUCAAUUACAAAUAAAAUCAAUAAAACAAUCAAAAUAACAUAAUGAAAACAACAUGCAUAAUCACAACAUAAUCAAAACUCCUAAUAAAUGAAAGAUCCAACUCCUAGUAAAUGAAAGAUCUAAUUCUAUCUAUCAACCUAAGAAUUUACACUAUGUUUGAAGGAAAUGCCACCAUUGAACAUGUAGGAAAUAUUACCGAGGUGUGUGGAAGUGGAGACCGGCGACGGAGACGUGACCGACGGGAGGAGACGACGACGAAGACGGGAGGAGGCGACGACGAUUCGGCAGGAGCGACUCUGUCGAUUUGAAGAACAAGAAGCCGAUAUAACACAUAAAUCAUUAAGAGUAGAAACUAUAUAUAACACAUAAAUCAUAUAAUCAUAAACAUAUAAUAUAAACUAUAAAAUCGAUCAUUACAUAUAUAAACAUUACAGCAACCCAUUCAAUAAUCAUAAUCAUAAACAUAAAUCAAUAAACAUAAACAUAAUAAAUAAAUCAAUAAUCAAUAAUAAUCAAUAAACAUAAACAUAAUAAAUAAAUCAAUAAUCAAUAAUAAUAAAAAAACAUAAACAUAAACAUAAAUCAAUAAUCAAGAAUGAAAUAAUCAAUAAUCGAAACCCAUUCACCCCAUAACAAUAAUCAAUAUCAAACCCAUCAUCACAAUAAUCUUAUCAACACAAUAAUCAUAAACAAAAAACCAUAAAAAAACAAAAGAAAAUAAAUAACAAACCUUCAAUCAACGACACCACGGCGAAGUGGAGAUCACGGCGACUGGGACGACGACACGCGGCGGCGUAACCGGCGACGGGGAGACAGGCAGCGGCGGGGA